rnacentral:rRNA from 1 species
AUGAAUAUCGGAUUCGGUGUGCUUUCUCUGAUUAGUGAUGGUGGUUGUCCACUCCCAAGUUCCAACCCCAAAGCGUCCAAGCGACUGGUUGUAGAUUUGUUUCACAAGAGCUUCACGCAACAGAGACGAUGUCGUUGUGCAUGGCUCAUCCAAUGGUCCAAUCAUUUCCUAUUUUAUUGGCAAACGGAGAAUUUGAGCCAAUUUCACCUUACCCUAGACUACUUGCGACACGCGCGCAUUCCUCGCCUCCGUCUAAUUCUUCCCUCGGGUGUGCAUGAGUGCCGUGGUCAACAACAUAUCUUGUCGUUCUGA